GUAAAGCCCAGAACUGCUGGGUUGAUGGUGUCUGGACUGGAAGCUGGAGUAGAGAGUGGGCCCGGUUCCCCUACCAGCCACUGAAGGAGUGGCCCCAGAGGCAGCGAACGGGAAGACUUUGAUAUACCCCAGAAGGGGGGAAUGCUGAGUGACCUGGCUGGAGGGCUGAGUCCUGAAGAGGACACUGCACUUUCUGGAUUGAGAAAGGUGCUGCAGACCAGAGAGAGAGACAGAACAACCUGAUGAGCUAAUCCCCAGAGCAGCCAGGAGGAGGCGCUAGACUACCAGUGAGUGGACCCCAGCACAGCAUGUGUUGGGGGCGGGAGGGAAAUGGGACCCAGGACGGCUGGGCUCUAGUCCUGGCUCUGCCAUGGGCUUUUCUGACCUUGAGCACAUUGUUCCACCUAUAAGUGUCUCUGUUGCCACCUGUGUAAGUGAAGGACAAUAACACUCUCCCACUCACCGCAAUAGGACAGUGAAAACUAACAGCUGAGGUAUUGAGAAAUCUGGGGAUGAAAGUGGCAGGCAAGAGUCUGAGAAGAUCCUGCCUUUGAAGGAGGAGUGAAAUCAAGACAAAAAUCCUGGACCAGUGAGAUUCCCACAUUCCAGAGCAAUAACCCUCAGGCCAGGGCGGUGCGAGACCCUGCACACUCCAUUGUACAGCACCUCCAUUCCAAACCGGGUAAACCGACCCUCUGCAGGAAUGUCUCCCCGAUCAGAUGCUGCAACCACAGGAUCAUGAGAGUGUGUAUUCUAGGAUUGGCUACAAGCUUGUCUUUGGUGUGUGAUCUGAGGUGCAAUUGACCUGGAGUAAGUGACUGCCCCUUUGGGAAUGUGAGGAACCUGAAUACUGCUAGGAUCCUUGCUGUAAGCGACCAUGAAUCACACAGGAUCUGAGUCUGAGAUGUGUGAAACAAUCAAUAUACCUGCAGUUCUGCAAGUGAAUGUGGGUAGGAGG